UACGUAGGUGGCAAGCGUUAUCCGGAUUUAUUGGGCGUAAAGGGAACGCAGGCGGUCUUUUAAGUCUGAUGUGAAAGCCUUCGGCUUAACCGGAGUAGUGCAUUGGAAACUGGGAGACUUGAGCGCAGAAGGGGAGAGUGGAAUUCCAUGUGUAGCGGUGGAAUGCGUAGAUAUAUGGAGGAACACCGGUGGCGAAAGCGGCUCUCUGGUCUGUAACUGACGCUGAGGCUCGAAAGCGUGGGUAGCGAACAGG
rnacentral:rRNA from 1 species